AUGCGACCCCAGGAUGGGCGAGGUCACCCGCUGAGUUUAAGCAUAUCACUAAGCGGAGGAGAAGAAACUUACGAGGAUUCCCCUAGUAACGGCGAGU
rnacentral:rRNA from 1 species